AGUAUUGAUGUUUCCUGAUUCAGAGCAUCUGUUCCACAUGAUCAGAUGCAGCUGUUUCCCCUUUCCUCCCUUGUUAUGUCCAUCUGAUAAUGGUAUCUCUUUAUCUCUGCCCCAAGAAGAAAUUGGCAGCAUACUCUUCCCACCCAAAACGAAUAGGUCCAAUUAUUCGUAACCUCAAUCACCUUUAACACGUAAUAUACCAAGAUACAGAGUAAAAAAUCAUAGAUAAAGAAAUGGUCAAGAACACCAUUACCCUUUCACAUAAAUAACCCCUAGAUAAAAAUUAAUUCCCUUCUAACCCCUAUUGGA